rnacentral:rRNA from 1 species
UACGGAGGGGGCGAGCGUUAUUCGGAAUUAUUGGGCGUAAAGGGCGCGUAGGCGGCUCUUUAAGUCAAAGGUGAAAUCCCUCGGCUCAACUGAGGAACUGCCUUUGAAACUGAGGAGCUUGAGUCCGGGAGGGGGUAGCGGAAUUCCCAGUGUAGCGGUGAAAUGCGUAGAUAUUGGGAGGAACACCAGUGGCGAAGGCGGCUACCUGGACCGGAACUGGACGCUGAUGCGCGAAAGCGUGGGUAGCAAACAGG